UAGUAGUUGUGGAGUACUUCUUGAAAUAUACUAAGCAUUUUAUAUGAAUUCUGUUUCUCAGCACUGAUAAUGGCGAUACACUGAUCUGAAUGGUCCCUUCUAGUAGUACCCUCAAGCAGGUUGCCAAUGUCACUCUGGCCUUUGGAGAUGCUGAGCAGGCAGUGCUGUAACAAGCGGGGGGCGAGUGGGACAACUGUCCUGGGCGCCGAAGUGAAGUGGCACCAACAAGUGCUGUCCAGCCAAGGCAAGGCACAGGAUGGAGCUGCAGAUACUGUGCAUCUCUGUGGGUAUGAGGACUCCACUGGAGAGCCCCUCUGAGAGAUGGAGUCAGAACUGGUCCCAUUACUCUGAUCUUUCAUUGUCGGCCAGCGUAAUUAGGAAAGCAGAGCUCUACUUUGCUGUAUCCUUCACUCUUCAGGUUACCAGGCAGAUGCUGAGCUGAUGAAACUGUGGUUGCCUUUUGUGCAGCAUGUUUCACCCUUGGGGGCCUAACAUGACAGAAUUGAACUGUGAAGAUUAUCAAGAGUCUGCUUAAAAGCAAUGCUGCAAGUCUGUCAUACAAAAUGGGAGAGAAGAAAAAAUGAGAGCCAGCAGGAGAAUGUAUUGGAAAAUAUAAUUUUCAUUUUGAAUUACAUGAAUAAAUGGAAAAAUCUU